rnacentral:rRNA from 1 species
AUUGAACGCUGGCGGUAGGCCUAACACAUGCAAGUCGAACGGCAGCACAGUAAUAGCUUGCGCUUACGGGUGGCGAGUGGCGGACGAGGGAUGAAUACAUCGGAGUCUACUUUUUCGUGCGUGCUAACGUAGGGAAACUUACGCUAAUACCGCAGACGGCCUACGGGUGAGAGCAUCGGAUCUUCGGACCUUACGCGAUUGUAUGAGCCGAGGUCGGAUUAGCUAGUUGGCGGGGUAAAGGCCCACCAAGGCGACGAUCCGUAGCUGGUCUGAGAGGAUGAUCAGCCACACUGGAACUGAGACACGGUCCAGACUCCUACGGGAGGCAGCAGUGGGGAAUAUUGGACAAUGGGCGCAAGCCUGGUCCAGCCAUACCGCGUGGGUGAAGAAGGUCUUCGGGUUGUAAAGCCCUUUUGUUGGGAAAGAAAAGCAGCAGGUUAAUACCCCGCUGUUCUGACGGUACCCAAAGAAUAAGCACCGGCUAACUUCGUG